rnacentral:rRNA from 1 species
GAUGAACGCUGGCGGCGUGCCUAAUACAUGCAAGUCGAGCGGACGGACGAGAAGCUUGCUUCUCUGAUGUUAGCGGCGGACGGGGGAGUAACAUGUGGAUAACCUACCUAUAAGACUGGGAUAACUUCGGGAAACCGGAGCUAAUACCGGCUGAUAUUUUCAACAGCAUGGUUCAAAAGUGUAAGACGGUCUUGCUGUCACUUAUAGAUGGUUCCGCGCUGCAUUAGCUAGUUGGUAAGGUAACGGCUUACCAAGGCAACGAUGCAUAGCCGACCUGAGAGGGUGAUCGGCCACACUGGAACUGAGACACGGUCCAGACUCCUACGGGAGGCAGCAGUAGGGAAUCUUCCGCAAUGGGCGAAAGCCUGACGGAGCAACGCCGCGUGAGUGAUGAAGGUCUUCGGAUCGUAAAACUCUGUUAUUAGGGAAGAACAUAUGUGUAAGUAACUGUGCACAUCUUGACGGUACCUAAUCAGAAAGCCACGGCUAACUACGUG